GACGGAGGAUGCAAGUGUUAUCCGGAAUCACUGGGCGUAAAGCGUCUGUAGGUGGUUUAAAAAGUCUGCUGUUAAAAAUUGAAGCUUAACUUCAAAGGUGCCGUAGAAACUUUUAAACUUGAGGAUGGUAGGGGUAGAGGGAGUUUCCAGUGGAGCGGUGAAAUGCGUAGAUCUUGGAAAGACCACCAAUGGCGAAGGCACUCUACUGGGCCAUGACUGACACUGAGAGACGAAAGCUAGGGGAGCAAAUGGG
rnacentral:rRNA from 1 species